rnacentral:rRNA from 1 species
UAGGGAAUCUUCGGCAAUGGGGGCAACCCUGACUGAGCAACGCCGCGUGAGUGAAGAAGGUUUUCGGAUCGUAAAGCUCUGUUGUAAGAGAAGAACGUGUGUGAGAGUGGAAAGUUCACACAGUGACGGUAACUUACCAGAAAGGGACGGCUAACUACGUGCCAG